AAACUUUACCAUGCGGGCAACCGUGAUAAGGAAACUCCGAGUGCUGGUAUAGACCAGCUGUCCAUGAGUUUAAAACGCUCGUGAAGAAAGGGCCGGGCAAGACCGGUGCCAGCCGCCGCGGUAAUACCGGCGGCUCGAGUGGUGGCCGCUAUUACUGGGCUUAAAGGGUCCGUAGCUUGAACCUCAAGUCCCUUGAGAAAUCCGCCGGCUUAACUGGCGGGCGUUCAGGGGAAACUGGUGUUCUAGGGACCGGGAGAGGUGAGAGGUACUGCCGGGGUAGGAGUGAAAUCCUGUAAUCCCGGUGGGACCACCUAUGGCGAAGGCAUCUCACCAGAACGGCUCCGACAGUGAGGGACGAAAGCUGGGGGAGCAAACCGG
rnacentral:rRNA from 1 species